CAUGGAAGUGAAUCGGGUGAC
rnacentral:miRNA from 1 species